UUUGAGACAAAAAAUUGGGUCUUACUGCAAGUAUCAGUUGCAGGUCUAAGUUGGCUUAGGCUGUUGAGCUCUUAAUUGGGAUAAGAAUCCUUCUAAUCCAUUUUGUCAGGUCCUGUCAGCAGCAGGCACGGAUUCUACAGAAGUGGCUAGAAAUGAGCGUGCAGCCAGAGGACCAAGAUGGCGUACAUGGAGUUCGGGAAGAAUUGGAUCAGUUGCAGGUGAGGAUCAACACUCUCACCAAAGCACAACUAAAAGAGAGGCAUCAUGUGCAGAAACUGGUUGCCCGCCUGCAUGAUAUACAGAUUGCUCUGGAUAUAUAAUGCAUCUGAACCAAUUUUCCAGCUCACAGUAUACUGUACCAGCCUCAACCAUCAAAACCAGAAAGCUGCCUACUACUGUCUUGCUCACCUGGUCAAAGUAGAUGCGGAUAGAGCCG